GGGGAGUACGACCGCAAGGUUGAAACUCAAAGGAAUUGACGGGGGCCCGCACAAGCGGUGGAGCAUGUGGUUUAAUUCGCAGCUACGCGAAGAACCUUACCAGGUCUUGACAUCUUGCGCCAACCCUAGAGAUAGGGCGUUUCCUUCGGGAACGCAAUGACAGGUGGUGCAUGGUCGUCGUCAGCUCGUGUCGUGAGAUGUUGGGUUAAGUCCCGCAACGAGCGCAACCCUUGUUACUAGUUGCCAGCAUUAAGUUGGGCACUCUAGUGAGACUGCCGGUGACAAACCGGAGGAAGGUGGGGACGACGUCAGAUCAUCAUGCCCCUUAUGACCUGGGCUACACACGUGCUACAAUGGACGGUACAACGAGUCGCGAACUCGCGAGGGCAAGCAAAUCUCUUAAAACCGUUCUCAGUUCGGACUGCAGGCUGCAACUCGCCUGCACGAAGUCGGAAUCGCUAGUAAUCGCGGAUCAGCAUGCCGCGGUGAAUACGUUCCCGGGCCUUGUACACACCGCCCGUCACACCAUGAGAGUUUGUAACACCCAAAGUCGGUGGGGUAAC
rnacentral:rRNA from 2 species